CCUACGGGGUGCAGCAGUCGCGAAAACUUCACAAUGGGGGCAACCCCGAUGAGGGAAUUCCUAAUGCUAGCACAUUUGUGUUAGCUUUUCUUUAGCGUAGAUAACUAGAGGAAUAAGGGCUGGGAAAGACGGGUGCCAGCCGCCGCGGUAAUACCUGCAGCCCAAGUGGUGGUCGAGUUUAUUGAGUCUAAAACGUUCGUAGCCGGUUCGGUAAAUCUUUGGGUAAAUCGGAGGGCUUAACCUUCCGACUUCCGAGGAGACUGCCGAACUUGGGACCGGGAGAGGCUAGAGGUACUUCUGGGGUAGGGGUAAAAUCCUGUAAUCCUAGAAGGACCACCGGUGGCGAAGGCGUCUAGCUAGAACGGAUCCGACGGUGAGGGACGAAGCCCUGGGUCGCAAACGGGAUUAGAUACCCAAGUAGUCC
rnacentral:rRNA from 1 species